GACGAACGCUGGCGGCGUGCCUAAUACAUGCAAGUAGGACGCAGUUGCGAACGGGUGAGUAACGCGUAGGUAACUACCUGUUAGAGGGGGAUAACUAUUGGAAACGAUAGCUCAUACCGCAUACUAGUAGAUGGACCUGCGUUGUAUUGGAUAGUAUGUAGGGGAAUGGCAUAACUAGGUAACGAUACAUAGCCGACCUGGUAAGGUGAUCGGGCAAACGGGGAAUGAGACACGGCCCAGACUCCCACGGGAGGCAGGAGGAGGGAAUUUUCGGAAAUGGGGGGAACCCUGACCGAGCAAAGCCGCGUGAGUGAAGAAGGGUUUCGGAUUGUAAAGCUCCGUUGUUAAGGAAGCGUUACUUAACCAGAAAGGGACGGCUAACUACGUGCCAGCAGCCGCGGUAAUAC
rnacentral:rRNA from 1 species